CGCUUUUGAACCCGUUGAGAGAACGAAGACCCGGUCACGGUUGCCAUCUACUAUCCAUACUCAAUUUUUAAACAAUUAUAAAUUCCACAUUUACUAGUAAACAUGUAUGAUACAAUGGACAUUAUGUAGUAAUAAAAAUAAAUCAAGUGAUAUUAACAAACCAAUUAAUUUGAACUAUCCUACUUUCUAAGAUCAUAAAAAGAUAUUAUAAUUCAUUCUUGCAAACUACAUUAAUACUAGGUCAACCAUGAUAUAUAUAUAUAUAUAUAUGGAUACUAAUUCAUGUGAAUGAUUCAAAAUAACAAAGUGGAUUUGAGCUAAAAAAUGAUGGGAAUAUCACAAGCCAAAAACAACAUGAAAAAGACAAGAAAGGCUGAAGUUAGUCACCUCCAAGCACGAAGAGACGAUGACGGAGUCGAAGAAGAUCAACAAUGGGCGUUGGAGAUGAAGAACAAAUGAAGAACAAGCAAGAAGAAGCUCCAAGAACAACAAUGGUGCUCUCGGUUUCAAAUGGGCAGAGGGGAGGAGGGAGCCGGCCUAUAAACCGGACCUUUAGA
rnacentral:lncRNA from 1 species